rnacentral:rRNA from 1 species
CCGCACAAGCGGUGGAGCAUGUGGUUAAUUCGACGCAACGCGAAGAACCUUACCAGGGCUUGACAUCCCCUGACCGCGUAUGAAAGUACGUUUUCACCCUCGGGUGACAGGGAGACAGGUGGUGCAUGGUUGUCGUCAGCUCGUGUCGUGAGAUGUUGGGUUAAGUCCCGCAACGAGCGCAACCCCUACGUUUAGUUGCUAACGCGUGAAGGCGAGCACUCUAGACGAACUGCCGUUGACAAAACGGAGGAAGGUGGGAUGACGUCAAAUCAUCAUGCCCCUUAUGUUCUGGGCUACACACGUGCUACAAUGGCCGGUACAGACGGACGCAAAGCCGCGAGGUGGAGCAAAUCCUAAAAAGCCGGUCUCAGUUCGGAUUGCAGGCUGCAAUUCGCCUGCAUGAAGUCGGAAUCGCUAGUAAUCGCAGGUCAGCAUACUGCGGUGAAUACGUUCUCGGGCCUU